UACGUAGGGAGCAAGCGUUGUCCGGAAUCAUUGGGCGUAAAGGGCGCGUAGGCGGUUUUUUAAGUCAAAUGUGAAAAUCCAGGGCUUAACUCUGGGACUGCGUUUGAAACUGAAAGACUAGAGAUCAGGAGAGGAAAGUGGAAUUCCUAGUGUAGCGGUGAAAUGCGUAGAUAUUAGGAAGAACAUCGAUGGCGAAGGCAGCUUUCUGGCCUGACACUGACGCUGAGGCGCGAAAGCGUGGGGAGCAAACAGGAUUAGAUACCCUGGUAGUCCACGCCGUAAACGAUGGAUACUAGGUGUAGGGGGUUCGAUUCCCUCUGUGCCGCAGUUAACGCAAUAAGUAUCCCGCCUGGGGAGUACGGUCGCAAGAUUGAA
rnacentral:rRNA from 1 species